UCAGCACUCCACUGACAAGGGAACCACAGCCACCAGCACCACGGGGCAGGGAGCAGCUGGAGACUCAUCCAACACACACGCUGUGCAAGCCCCGCCCUGGGCACAGGAGACAUCCAGCAGAUUCCACUGCACAGGUGGGAAAAAUGAAGCUCAACAGUAUGAAGCCACCUGCCCAGGAUCAUACAGCUGGCAAAGGGUGUGGGAUCAAACCCACAUUGUUCUGACUCCUGAGCCUGUAUGUAGAAUUCACCACCGCAAUGUCCUGCCUCCACAUAUCAUGCUGCACUGUGGAGCACAGAGCAGGGAACGACUAACCCUUCCCAGAGCAGGUUUUGUGAGCCACAGAAGUUGAAAAUCCCCGGAAAUCACACCCUAGAACUAUGUAAAUAUUAUGACGAAAUUGCUACUAUGUCUGUUUUACAAUGUCCCUGAAAGCAGUGCUUCUAGAACCAACUGUGGGGAAGGAUCAGUUUUUAAGAACUUCUAAUCCGUCACAGACCAAUACUUCUAUAAAAUACAAGGAAAAUGAAU